GACGAACGCUGGCGGCGUGCCUAAUACAUGCAAGUAGAACGCUGAAGGAGGAGCUUGCUUCUCUGGAUGAGUUGCGAACGGGUGAGUAACGCGUAGGUAACCUGCCUGGUAGCGGGGGAUAACUAUUGGAAACGAUAGCUAAUACCGCAUAAGAGUAGAUGUUGCAUGACAUUUGCUUAAAAGGUGCAAUUGCAUCACUACCAGAUGGACCUGCGUUGUAUUAGCUAGUUGGUGGGGUAACGGCUUACCAAGGCGACGAUACAUAGCCGACCGGAGAGGGUGAGCGGCCACACUGGGACUGAGACACGGCCCAUACGCCUACGGGAGGCAGCAGUAGGGAAUCUUCGGCAAUGGACGGAAGUCUGACCGAGCAACGCCGCGGGAGUGAAGAAGGGUGUCGGAUCGGAAAGCUCUGUUGUAAGAGAAGAACGAGUGUGAGAGUGGAAAGUUCACACUGUGACGGUAUCUUACCAGAAAGGGACGGCUAACUACGUG
rnacentral:rRNA from 1 species